rnacentral:lncRNA from 1 species
UGGUACGAAGCCUUGCACCAAAACCCAAAAAUUUGGAUUUUGGUCAGCUCUCGGAUUGGCUGUCUGGCGGGCUUGUACCGGUACAAGGUUGUGCUUGUACCGGUACAGAGCCGAGAACUCGCAAACCCGAGCCUCGGUUUACAUUUUCGCAGGUCUUGUACCGGUACAAGGAUGGUCUUGUACCGGUACAAUGUUGAUGGUUGUACCGGUACAGCCAUCGGGCCUGUACCGGUACAGUGCCGCAGGACCGCGCACCCGAGCCUCGGUUUUGGAUUUUCGUAGCUCUUGUACCGGUACAAGAUCCGGUGUACCGGUACAAGA